rnacentral:rRNA from 1 species
UACGUAGGGUGCAAGCGUUAAUCGGAAUUAUUGGGCGUAAAGGGUGCGUAGGCGGUUUGGUAAGUCUGAUGUGAAAUCUAUGGGCUCAACUCAUAGUCUGCAUCGGAAACUGCCGGGCUUGAGUAUGGGAGAGGUGAGUGGAAUUCCUGGUGUAGCGGUGAAAUGCGUAGAUAUCAGGAGGAACACCUGUGGCGAAAGCGGCUCACUGGACCAUAACUGACGCUGAUGCACGAAAGCGUGGGGAGCAAACAGG